rnacentral:misc_RNA from 1 species
AACUCUUCCUUACUAAAGCCUGCACAAUCUGCAGCUCUCAUGACAAGUUGCUCCAAAAGAAAUUUGGCUGGAUCACCAAACGGGUAACGUUGAAUGUAAGAAUGGACAAGCAUUACAACAUCAUCGUUGUUGAAGAAGUCAAAUAGACCAUCGCUUCCAAGUACAACAAAGUGAUCAGAACUAGAUAUUUCAUGUACAGUCCGAGACGGCUGUACAGUAACAUAUGGAGGACUAACUAGAUUCCGGACACGAAGAAUUCCCAUCAAAGCAUCAUUCAUACUCUUCUUUUUCAAGUAACCCACUCCAAGUGCCCGAGUAACCUUAAGCUUUCCCUUUACUUUCCCACCCACGAUUGUUGAGGGAUCUUCAGGAUGAUUCUUUAAUAGUUGAAUUCUUUCAGAUUCAUCAUCAACAGUAUGACUAACAGUCAGCUGCACAGCUUGCAACCUUCCAUCACUAUUAGCACCAACGCCUUCACCAUAAGUUGCCAAUACAGCUCGACUAUCUCCUGCAUUGAGCACAUACAUGUUCUUCCCGAGUAGAAGCACCACUAAUACACAGGAUCCAAUCGACACUAAGUCAGGACGGUUAUCCAUUUCUUGUUCAACCAUGUGAAGGAAAUCAUUCUCAGCUUGAAUAAGAGCCAGUUCCAGACUAUUAAGAACCCUUUGAUUAAAAGACGGACAUGACUUUUCCACUUCUAAAUAAGGAAGCCCAUAAAAGCCCACGCGAUCAGAAACUUUAGACUCUCGCUCGAGUUCACAGUCUAAUAAACCAAGGUAAUGCCUAAUAGUUUCGUACAAUGUUCCAGCCAGAAAAUCAGCUGCGUCUCUUCCAUUAAAUCCAUCAUAUAUGCCACAGAAGAGCGAGUCGUUCUCUUCUGAACAAACAGCCUGGACUCUGUCUUCACCUGCUGCACCGCCAGCAAUUUUAACUUCUGUUGCAUUAAGGAAGCUUUCACACCUAGAAGGAGCACUCGUGGAUCUCAAUGAAGAUGAAUUGUCUUCAGCUAGCUCGCUUGGAGAGGAUGGACUACAGCUUAAGUUUGACAAGCUACUCUGAAAAGAAGAUGUUAAUAAAUCCAACUUUGAGAAUGACGGAGAAGAGGGUAUCCGUCGGAAUGAAGUAGGUGAAUCCAGUGCUGGCAGUAUCUCAGCCCCAAACAAUCCAUUGCAAAUAUUUGUGUUAGCUAGUGUGGCAUUGGCACUUAGAGCUGCCCCAGACAGGCAAGAGAAGGAACUGUUGGCUCUUCGAAGUUUACUUCCAGGACGCACGUCAAUACCAUCUGAUUCCUCACCAGAAUCAUCUGUGCUGUUAUUACAAUGAUAUCCAAAACUUAUUUUGAUUUGGCCCCCUGAAUCAGAUUUUGAUUGUCCACCCAUCAUUUGUGCCUUUUUCUUGAAUCCUCAAUGCUAAAAAGCCUAAAACCCAGAUA